AUGUUCAGCCCCCUGCCGCCAUCCUCAACAACCUCAAGGGGCCGGAGCGGGGAGGUCUAUGAGCGCAUCUUCGCGGCGGGUAACAAGGGCAUGUCGAGCCAGGACCUCCGCUACGUGUUGAAGCUGACUGCCCCAACCCUCAACAAGCUCACCCGCGCCCUCGUCCAGCGGGGUAUCCUCAAGGAGGUCACGGACGUCCGCCCCCGCGGGAAGAAGGUCUUCAUGGACUUCAGCAUGGAACCCUCUCCGGAGAUCACCGGAGGAACCUGGUACCACAACGGUCAGCUCGAUACCGACACCGUGGCGGCCGUGCGCCGCAGGUGCCUCGACCAGAUUGACAGGCUCGGCGCUGCCACGCCGGACAUGGUCCACAAUGGCGUCGAGAGGGAAGACCCCAGCGGAGGGUACUCGAUCGACCAGAUCAGGGACAUCCUGCAGACCAUGGCGCUCGACAGGGUGCUCGAGGAGUGCAGGAGCACCGGGGAUGGAGAGUUCAGCGCGGUCAGAGCCGGGAGGGUGUGCUACCGGCGGGGUGGCGCGCCGCAAGGCGGCAUGAUAGAUGGGAUUCCAUGCGGGGUUUGUCCCAGGAUCGAUGAGUGCUCGCCGGAUGGGGUCAUCUCGCCAGUCACUUGUGUCUACUACAAGAAGUGGCUGCAGAUGGACUUCUAG
rnacentral:rRNA from 1 species